AUUGAACGCUGGCGGCAGGCCUAACACAUGCAAGUCGAGCGGAAACGACACUAACAAUCCUUCGGGUGCGUUAAUGGGCGUCGAGCGGCGGACGGGUGAGUAAUGCCUAGGAAAUUGCCUUGAUGUGGGGGAUAACCAUUGGAAACGAUGGCUAAUACCGCAUAAUGCCUACGGGCCAAAGAGGGGGACCUUCGGGCCUCUCGCGUCAAGAUAUGCCUAGGUGGGAUUAGCUAGUUGGUGAGGUAAUGGCUCACCAAGGCGACGAUCCCUAGCUGGUCUGAGAGGAUGAUCAGCCACACUGGAACUGAGACACGGUCCAGACUCCUACGGGAGGCAGCAGUGGGGAAUAUUGCACAAUGGGCGAAAGCCUGAUGCAGCCAUGCCGCGUGUAUGAAGAAGGCCUUCGGGUUGUAAAGUACUUUCAGUUGUGAGGAAGGGGGURYYGUUAAUAGCRRYAUCUCUUGACGUUAGCAACAGAAGAAGCACCGGCUAACUCCGUGCCAGCAGCCGCGGUAAUACGGAGGGUGCGAGCGUUAAUCGGAAUUACUGGGCGUAAAGCGCAUGCAGGUGGUUCAUUAAGUCAGAUGUGAAAGCCCGGGGCUCAACCUCGGAACUGCAUUUGAAACUGGUGAACUAGAGUACUGUAGAGGGGGGUAGAAUUUCAGGUGUAGCGGUGAAAUGCGUAGAGAUCUGAAGGAAUACCAG
rnacentral:rRNA from 1 species